AGCUUUGCGCAGUGGCAGAAUCGCAGCCAAUGAUGUUUAUCUGAGGCACGAUUAUUGCUAAUUGAAG
rnacentral:snRNA from 1 species